AUGUACCAUUUAGGCAAGAAUCACCAGAGGUCUGAUUACAAGACCGUGGUACAGAGGUCAGUUUCUGACCCAUUCCACCCUGGAGAAAAUGUGACUCUGCAGUGCACAGUGCUCUCUGAGACCUGUACAGGAGAACACAGUGUGUACUGGUUCAGAAAUGGAUCAGGAGAAUCCCCUCCAGGGGUCAUUUACACCCCUGGGAACAGGAGAGAUGAGUGUAAGAAGAGCCCUGAGACUCCCUCUCCUACACAGAGCUGUGUCUACAGCCUCUCCAAGAACAACCUCAGCCCUUCUGAUGCUGGGACGUACUACUGUGCUGUGGCCGUAUGUGGGGAGAUCCUUUUUGGCAAAGGAACAAAAUUGGACCUGGCCAGUAACACGGAAGUGAAUGUGUCAG